AAGUAAUUAGCUCAAUUGGUAGAGCAUUUCGCUUACAACGAAAAUGUUAAUGGUUCAAGUCCAUUAUUACUUA
rnacentral:tRNA from 1 species